rnacentral:rRNA from 1 species
GACGAACGCUGGCGGCGUGCUUAACACAUGCAAGUCGAACGGAAAGGCCCUGCUUGCAGGGUGCUCUAGUGUCGAACGGGUGAGUAACACGUGGGUGUUCUGCCCUCCACUUCGUGGUAUGCCUUGGGAACUGUGUGUAAUACCGCGUAUGAGCCCUUUUUCUUGUGAUGGUUGGAAAGUUUUUUCGGUGUAGUGUGAGCUCGCUGCCUAUUAGCUUGUUGGUGGGGUAAUUGCCUACCAAGGCGGCGAAGGGUAGCCGGCCUGAGAGGGUGGACGGCCACAAUGGGACUGAGAUAAGGCCCAGAAUCCUACGGGAGGGAGGAGUGGGGAAGAUUGCACAAUGGGCGGAAGCCUGAUGCAGGGAAGCCGCGGGGGGGAGGAAGGGCUUCGGGUUGUAAAAUCGUUUCGCUAGGGAAGAAGCUGUUAGUGACGGUAACUAGAUAAGAAGCACCGGCUAACUACGUG